rnacentral:lncRNA from 1 species
GUGGUAGCAUGAAUGGCUGAAAUUGUGGUUUUGUGAAUUAUAUAAAUUGUUUUGUCUUACAUUGACAAGUUGGAUAGUACUAUAUUAGCCAUGUUAUGCUGUCGAAAUUUUAUUGAUUUGGUGGGUUAUGUAUUUAGCUUACUACAGUGGGCGGGUUUCCGUGGACCAGCCUAUUAGAGGGGCACGGUAAACCCUGUUAUAUUUUACCUUAGUAUGAAAGGCGCGGAAGGUAUCUCCUAAGGUACGUUUAGAGUUCACUUCACGCUAAACCACCACGUGAGGAUGAAACUCAGCCAACGUCAAGGAAUGACUAUAUUUUAAAAGUAAAAACAUGUUUUAUGGGUAUAUGUCAUUUUAACAUCCUUGGCGAACUCGGUUGGAUGCUUGGGCCAAGGUGUCACCGAGUAUGAGUUUUGGCACAAGCCAAGUUUUUAAGAGAAUCAUAAGCCUUGUUGAU